rnacentral:rRNA from 1 species
CUAUACAUGACUCUGCGCAUAUCAAUAAGCGGAGGAAAAGCAUAACAUGUAUACCUACGCUUAGGAUGUUGAAGAUAUGCGCGACACGGCUCUAUACAUGACUCUGCGCAUAUCAAUAAGCGGAGGAAAAGAAACUAACAAGGAUUCCCUUAGUAACGGCGAGUGAAGCGGGAAGAGCUCAAAUUUGAAAUCUUAAAGGGUUUCCCUUUACGAAUUGUAGUUUAAAGAAGUGUUUUCUGUUGGAGUUUCGGUAAAAGUUCUUUGGAAUAGGACAUCAUAGAGGGUGAGAAUCCCGUAUUUGAUCGUUACUUUCCAGCUGUGUGAUACACUUUCAAAGAGUCGGAUUGUUUGGGGAUGCAGUCCAAAAUGGGUGGUAAAUUUCAUCUAAAGCUAAAUAUUGGCGAGAGACCGAUAGCGAACAAGUACCGUGAGGGAAAGAUGAAAAGAACUUUGAAAAGAGAGUUAAACAGUACGUGAAAUUGUCAAAAGGGAAGCGUUUGACACCAGUGUUGUUUAGUUGAAAAUCAAUUCAAUAAUUUUUGAUUUUAAGUAGUAUUGACUUCAUCAGCUUGCUGCUUUCUUUUCGAAAAUUAUUGAAUGCACUUUUCAGUUAACAAGUCAACAUCAAUUUCUUUUGUUGUAAAAGGGUAAGAGGAAGGUGGCUUACGCUUCGGCGUAAGUGUUUAUAGCCUUUUACCUCUGCAAUCGGAGAGAUUGAGGUCAGCAGCGUAGACUCCUUCGGGGGUUAGAUACACUUGUGCUAAGCUAUAGCCUUGUAUAGACAACUUGUUGACUAUGCUCAGUCAUGUAGCUUACUCGCAUGUGCUAUUUUACCUACGCUUAGGAUGUUGAAGAUAUGCGCGACACG